UACGUAGGUGGCAAGCGUUACUCGGAAUCACUAGGCGUAAAGCGCAGGUAGGCGGUUUAGUAAGUCUGUUGUGAAAGCUCCCGGCUUAACUGGGAGAGGUCAACGGAAACUGCUAGGCUAGAGUGCGGUAGAGGAAGGUGGAAUUCCCGGUGUAGCGGUGAAAUGCGUAGAUAUCGGGAGGAAUACCUAUGGCGAAAGCAGCCUUCUGGACCGUCACUGACUCUGAUCUGCGAAAGCUAGGGGAGCAAACAGG
rnacentral:rRNA from 1 species